rnacentral:tRNA from 1 species
GCUCCCAUAGCGCAAUUGGAUAGAGCGUUAGACUACGGAUCUAAAGGUUAGGGGUUCGACUCCCUUUGGGAGCACCA